GAUGAACGCUGGCGGCGUGCCUAAUACAUGCAAGUCGAGCGCACGGACGAGAAGCUUGCUUCUCUGAUGUUAGCGGCGGACGGGUGAGUAACACGUGGAUAACCUACCUAUAAGACUGGGAUAACUUCGGGAAACCGGUGCUAAUACCGGAUAAUAUUUUGAACCGCAUGGUUCAAAAGUGAAAGAGGGUGUUGCGGUCUCGUAAAGAGGGAUGCGCGCUGCAUUAGCUAGUUGGUAAGGUAACGGCUUACCAAGGCAACGAUGCAUAGCUGACCCGAGAGGGAGAUCGGCCACACUGGAACUGAGACGCGGUCCAGACUCCUAAGGGAGGCAGCAGUAGGGAAUCUUCCGGAAUGAGCGAAAGCCUGACGGAGCAACGCCGCGUGAGUGUGGAAGGUCUUCGGAUCGUAAAACUCUGUUAUUAGGGAAGAACAUAUGUGUAAGUAAGUGUGCACAUCUUGACGGUACCUAAUCAGAAAGCCACGGCUAACUACGUG
rnacentral:rRNA from 1 species